GACGAACGCUGGCGGCGUGCCUAAUACAUGCAAGUAGAACGCUGAAGGAGGAGCUUGCUUCUCUGGAUGAGUUGCGAACGGGUGAGUAACGCGUAGGUAACCUGCCUGGUAGCGGGGGAUAACUAUUGGAAACGAUAGCUAAUACCGCAUAAGAGUAGAUGUUGCAUGACAUUUGCUUAAAAGGUGCAAUUGCAUCACUACCAGAUGGACCUGCGUUGUAUUAGCUAGUUGGUGAGGUAACGGCUCACCAAGGCAACGAUACAUAGCCGACCUGAGAGGGGGAGAGGCCACACUGGGACUGAGACACGGCCCAGACUCCUACGGGAGGCAGCAGUAGGGAAUCUUCGGCAAUGGACGGAAGUCUGACCGAGCAACGCCGCGUGAGUGAAGAAGGUUUUCGGAUCGUAAAGCUCUGUUGUAAGAGAAGAACGAGUGUGAGAGUGGAAAGUUCACACUGUGACGGUAUCUUACCAGAAAGGGACGGCUAACUACGUG
rnacentral:rRNA from 1 species